rnacentral:miRNA from 1 species
CUUCCAGCCGGCGAGGUACAUGUACCUCGUCGACUGGAAGGAAGCCCUUCCAGCCGGCGAGGUCUAUGUACCUCGUCGACCGAGGUACAUGUACCUCGUCGACUGGAAGGACACCCUUCCAGUCGGCGAGGUACAAGUACCUCGCCGGCUGGAAG